AGAGUUUGAUCAUGGCUCAGAACGAACGCUGGCGGCAGGCCUCAUACAUGCAAGUCGAGCGGUCCUUCGGGACAGCGGCGAACGGGUUAGUAACGCGUGGGAACGUGCCCUUUAGUACGGAAUAGCCAUUGGAAACGAUGAUUAAUACCGUAUACGCCCCAAGGGGGAAAGAUUUAUCGCUAAAGGAUCGGCCCGCGUUAGAUUAGGUAGUUGGUAGGGUAAUGGCCUACCAAGCCGACGAUCUAUAGCUGGUUUGAGAGGAUGAUCAGCAACACUGGGACUGAGACACGGCCCAGACUUCUACGGAAGGCAGCAGUAGGGAAUCUUGGACAAUGGGCGGAAGCCUGAUCCAGCCAUGCCGCGUGAGUGAUGAAGGCCCUAGGGUUGUAAAGCUCUUUCGCCAGGGAAGAUAAUGACGGUACCUGGUAAAGAAACCCCGGCUAACUCCGUGCCAGCAGCCGCGGUAAUACGGAGGGGGUUAGCGUUGUUCGGAAUUACUGGGCGUAAAGCGCACGUAGGCGGAUUAAUAAGUCAGGGGUGAAAUCCCGAGGCUCAACCUCGGAACUGCCUUUGAUACUGUUAAUCUUGAGUUCGAGAGAGGUGAGUGGAAUUCCGAGUGUAGAGGUGAAAUUCGUAGAUAUUCGGAGGAACACCAGUGGCGAAGGCAGCUCACUGGGCCGCUAUCGACGCUGAGGAGCGAAAGCUAGGGGAGCAAACAGGAUUAGAUACCCUGGUAGUCCUAGCUGUAAACGAUGGAUACUAGACGUAGGAAUUGGAUUAACGAUUUCUGUGUCGUAGCUAACGCGUUAAGUAUCCCGCCUGGGGAGUACGGUCGCAAGACUAAAACUCAAAUGAAUUGACGGGGACCCGCACAAGCGGUGGAUCAUGUGGUUUAAUUCGAAGAUACGCGAAGAACCUUACCGGCUCUUGACAUACCAAUCGCGGACUUAAGAGAUUAAGUCUUUCACUUCGGGUGGAUUGGAUACAGGUGCUGCAUGGCUGUCGUCAGCUCGUGUCGUGAGAUGUUGGGUUAAGUCCCGCAACGAGCGCAACCCUCACUUUUAGUUGCCAUCAUUUAGUUGGGCACUCUGAAAGAACUGCCAGUGAUAAGCUGGAGGAAGGUGGGGAUGACGUCAAGUCCUCAUGGCCCUUACGUGUUGGGCUACACACGUGCUACAAUGGCAUUUACAAUAGGAAGCAAAACGGCGACGUUAAGCAAAUCCUAAAAAAAUGCCUCAGUUCGGAUUGUACUCUGCAACUCGAGUACAUGAAGCUGGAAUUACUAGUAAUCGCGGAUCAGCGCGCCGCGGUGAAUACGUUCCCGGGUCUUGUACACACCGCCCGUCACACCAUGGGAGUUGGUUCUACCUUAAGGCAAAGGUUAAAAACUUUGACCACGGUAUAGUCAGCGACUGGGGUGAAGUCGUAACAAGGUAACCGUA
rnacentral:rRNA from 1 species